CGGGGGGAGGAGUGGCGGGGGAGGACGCCCCCGCCCCCGCCCCCCGCCCCCCCCGCCCCGGGGGCCGGUUGCAGCCCGGCUGCGUGUGCGGAGGCGCAGGAAGGGGCUGGGACAAGGCUGAGCCGCCGAGCGGUGGGAGGGGGCGGCGGCGGCAGCGGCGCUGGGGACACCCCCCCCUUCACCCCCACCCCCCCACCCUGCACCCAGAGCUCGGCGGGGCGGUGGGCACCGAGACAGGGGAGGUAUGGGGUGGACGAGCAAGGAGAAGAACCCCGAGAAGGCCGUGGUGAAGGUGGAGCAAGGCGCGGGGGCGGUGGAAGGCGCUGCUGAAGAUGAGGAGGCAACGCGGGACGAAGGCUCCUGGGAGAUGCUCCCCCAGGGGGGAUGGUCUCCCUUGGGUGAUGGUCACCUGAGCAUGGUGCCCCCUGCAUGGGCGAUGGUCUGUGUUGGAGGGGGCUCUGCCGGAGGGAGACACCAUGGGGCAGGGUUGAACAGGCUGCGCUCUUAAACAGAA